CUAGCCACCGGGAAGGAAGUGCAAAGGAGGAGUUACAAGUGGCACUCACAGACUCCAGAAGGCCAUGUCUCGUCUCCAGUUGAGUCAUGAAAUACAAAUGAAUAGCAUCGGGACCUAACAGUGCUGUAUGGACAGUUCUAGACACUCCACCAGGCAAGAAGAGGGCAGACAGCUGUUGUAAAGACCCAGCCAUGCGGUGAUGAAGAGUGUGACCAGUCUUAUCUCUCUGUGGAGGAAGAUGAAAGAGAAGUCAGUUGAUCCUUCGUGACAUGAAAAAAUCACAUCAACCAUCUCCUCUCUAGCCCUUUUGAGUGGAAGAUUUUUGGAAUGUCUACCACGUUAUUCAGAUGUUUUGGCUCUCCAUGGCAUGAAGAUUCCAUACUCUACCAAGAGUCUGUGCUUUAAAAAUGCUUACUCUGUCUUCUGUGACCUUGAUCCUUCCUUUGUGGGGAAUGAGAUGCUGAGGCUGAGAUCUUGUUUGUUGCCUACUUGCCUCAUUAAAAAGCCUGUUAGCAUUUUGGGGAGGACCAGGCACCAGAUCAGGGCCUGGGACUUAUGGCUUUUUAUUGUGGCUUGGUUAGGGGGCUAUGUGAAUCUAAAGUCUCGUCAUGUCUCUGCUGUGACUGCUUGAAUGGUGUCUGGGAAUGGGAUAUGUGACGAGGAACACAAUGGAGCUGUCCACACAAUCUAGGCAGAGACAGCUAUAGGGUCUGUAUGUUCUUGCACACGCUGGAGCAUUUUUUGUUCUCUUCAGAUUUGUCUAAGUGUAAAUGUCUCCUUUUCUCUCUUUCUCAAGUUAGUUCUUGUUGCUUUCUGUGGACCAGGAUGCUCUUGGUGGAGGUUGUCACUGACUACAUAGGAUGAGGGUGACAGUCCUUGGUGAUCCCACAAAGGACUGUCACCUCUAGUACAACCACAAUGAUGUGGGUGUGCGAAUAUGGAUUUCACUCCAGGAAACUUGUCUGUUUUAUGGCAGAUAUUGCCACAACACCCUUCUCCCUAGUUAUUUUCCAGUUAGAGGUUUCCCUGUGACAAUAUUAUGACCAGUGAGACGUAAGUGGAAGUCUGUUGGAUGCAGUUUUUGGCAAAACUUUUGCUUUCCUUGUAUAAAGAGAGAAGGGCUUCUUAACUGACCACCAUCUCCUUGAGUGGAAUGUAGAUGAAACAACCGGAGGUGCUGCAGCUCUCUUGCAAUUAUGAGAUGACAAGCAGCAGGAAAGAAGCCAACAGACUAAAUAGGUGAAACAAAUAUACUGAUUAGGAAACUGAAGCCAGAGUGGCUAAAUGACUUGCUUAAAAUCAACUAAACAAGUCCUCUGACUUCAAGUCCUGAGUUCAUUCUUUGUAUGUUGUUAGCAAAUCAAAAGGCAAUACGUCUUAU
ensembl:lncRNA